GCUGGGCACGGUGGCGAACACCUGUAGUCCCACCGCCUGGGAGGCUGAGGCAGGAGCCUGAUCACAAGUUCAAAGUCAGCCUCAGCAAUUUUAGUGAUGCCCUGAGCAACAUGGUGAGCUCCUGUCUCAA
rnacentral:sRNA from 1 species